GGGGAUUUAGCUCAGUGGUAGAGCGCUUGCCUAGCAAGCGCAAGGCCCUGGGUUCGGUCCCCAGACCCACCC
rfam:Rattus norvegicus chromosome 14, whole genome shotgun sequence.